GAAGGAAUGGCCUUUCGGAGCCGCCCUGCGGGGGGAGGCUUCAAACCCCCACAUGCUGCAGAAGCGGCAACGCGACUGCGGUGAGCGAUGUGGAAAAGGCGCCGCAUCCGGCGUCAGGU
rfam:Streptomyces ipomoeae 91-03 gcontig_1108499705291, whole genome shotgun sequence.